ACUUUGCUUAUUAAAAGGCGACUCCACGGUUGUGUCCUUGUGCCUCCGCAGUGUUGUGCUAAAAAUUCACUCUGCCUUAUAUCCUUUUCUCAGCAUUACCAGUGGCUGCAGAAUUGACCCUGGGCUUGAGCUGAACUCUCCCCUUGCAGCAAGUUCUGGCUUCUGGAAACAAGAUGUAACAGCACUUCAGAUUUGCUGGAGGAUUUGGACAAAACCCUUCACCAAUACUCAGUGCUUCCCCCCUCCAAAAUGAGGCAAAUAGGACUUGACACCUGCAAAGAUCUGUUUUAAGACAGGUAAUGCAAGGCCUUAGAAACAUGGACUGGCCUCCAGCUGGUUGCAAGAAACAGUCAACUAUUUUUCCAUCAGCUGGAACUAUAGGACUGGUGUCAAAAAUAUAGAAUUAAAAGGAAAAUAUUGACCAAUAUUAAAGACUGCAUCAAGUGCUUUUAAUAUAUUUU
rnacentral:lncRNA from 1 species